rnacentral:rRNA from 1 species
UAGGGAAUCUUCGGCAAUGGACGAAAGUCUGACCGAGCAACGCCGCGUGAGUGAAGAAGGUUUUCGAAUCGUAAAACUCUGUUGGUAGAGAAGAACGUUGGUGAGAGUGGAAAGCUCAUCAAGUGACGGUAACUACCCAGAAAGGGACGGCUAACUACGUGCCAGCAGCCGCGGUAAUACGUAGGUCCCGAGCGUUGUCCGGAUUUAUUGGGCGUAAAGCGAGCGCAGGUGGUUUAUUAAGUCUGGUGUAAAAGGCAGUGGCUCAACCAUUGUAUGCAUUGGAAACUGGUAGACUUGAGUGCAGGAGAGGAGAGUGGAAUUCCAUGUGUAGCGGUGAAAUGCGUAGAUAUAUGGAGGAACACCGGUGGCGAAAGCGGCUCUCUGGCCUGUAACUGACACUGAGGCUCGAAAGCGUGGGGAGCAAACAGGAUUAGAUACCCUGGUAGUCCACGCCGUAAACGAUGAGUGCUAGAUGUAGGGAGCUAUAAGUUCUCUGUAUCGCAGCUAACGCAAUAAGCACUCCGCCUGGGGAGUACGACCGCAAGGUUGAAAC